CUUACCCAUACUGCGCCCGGUCAGACUCUCACAGCCCAGCGCAGUGUCUUUUCUCUCUCUCGCUCACACACGUGCGUGCGCGGCUUUUUGUGUGCAGCGCUAUAUAGCUGCUCCCGCGCGCGCUCUGCUCCCAUAUAUACUCCGUGUAUACAUGCAACUACGUAUACACAUACACGCAGUGUAGCAGCAGCUCGAUUCCUCGGCGCUCUCCGCUGUCAACUCUCUGCGUGUGCGAGAGAGGAGAGCCCAGCAGCAGCAGCAGCAGCGUUAGUUAUACCACUACUCUCCUCCUCCGCGUCCUCGCAGAGCGAGAGAGAGAGAGAGCCAGUUCGAUUUUUCGCGUGUAACCGUCGUCGCGCGCGUGCACCAGCAGUAGUGUCCUGCGAGCUACGCCUCCAGCAUCUCUCUUUCUCGUCGGUCGCUGCAGUUUGUUGUUAUUAUAUUAUUACACGCUUUUUGUCCCUCUCUCUCUCUCUCUCAACCAGCCUCUGUGUGCGCGCACGGGUUAUAUUGAAGAAAAAAGAGGAGAGAGAGAGAGAGAGAGAGAGCCGAAGGGAAUGUGCGUGCCUGCCCUCCUCGCGUGUACGAAGAGGAGGAGGAGGAGGAGGACCUGCCAGUGCGUGUCGUCGGAGCCGCUCCUCUGCAGCUGCUGGAUUUCUCGCCGCUGGUGAUGAUCCUCGCUUGAUGCGUUCUCUCGGUCUCUGUUUUCGUGGUGCCGUAUACACGUAUUGUACACAUUGAGUGCGGAACCCUGUGGAUGCAGGAUAUAUAUCUACGUAUGCGCCGCACCGCCGCCGCUGCUACUGAGGAGGAUAUUGACACGAGGAGAGCAGCGGCCUGAGAGUUGCGAGGCUGAGUCGAGUCGUCGUCUUGCACAACGGCUUAUACAUUUCACUGCGGUCGCGCAGAAAGUGAAAUCAUGACUCGAUCUCGCUUGUCGCAGCAGCAGUGCGGCUCGAUCGCGGCAGUAGCAGUCGCCAGUAGCUACGGCAGUACGAACACGUGAACCGGAAAGAAAAGUAUCCGCGCAACCGAGAGAGGAAUAGCGGCGUUGAGGUGAAAAUGCGCCGAGGAUAAUACAGCAGCGAGGGAAGGAAGAUGGAGGAGAUUCGCGGAACGCCAGCCCGAAGGCUUUCGCAGAUCCUCGACCCGAUCGCCAGGCUGACCUCGGAACUGGGCUCGAGCUCCUCGGCGCCUUGCAGUCCCCGUCUGGGCUCGAGACACCACGAUGCCUGCUGCAGCACUUCUGGACCAUCGUCGCUGGGCCCCGAAACGUCGAGGGGCCUGCCGGGGCCCGACAGUCCCAGGCUGAUGCCGCGCAAAGGGCGCCAGGGUCCCACCCCACCACCGAGGCCCAGGAACAACAACAGCGCCAGUAGUACCAACAGUCCGGUACACUACAGGGACUCGCCCUACGUAAAUGUGUCCAACCUUAUCUUCCAGAAGGACAAGAGCUUCGCCGAGACGGCCAAGAGCGCGGGCUACGUCGAGCUGAAAGACAGCAGCGGAAGUGGAAGCGGAAGCGGCAGCAGUACCGGAAACAACUCCAAAACCAAGUGCAGUCCGUUCAACUUCACGUCGGAUCCCAGCGGUCACGUGGAGUAUGUUGAUGGCAGGCAGUACGUUGGCCAGCUAAGCAGCCUAGACUUUGGGCCCACCUGUUACGAGAAUAAGGCCCACGACAUACAGAACAUGCAGCAGGUCUUGAACAGAGGGCGCUCGCCGUUCGAGCCAGGGACUUCCGGUGCGAGCAGAAGUCCAUUCGAGAAGAGCUUCUCGGUGACCGGUAGGCAGCAGCCCGAGACGCAAAGCGCCAGACACUUCCUGCUAGGUGAUAAGGGCUUGACAAGUAAUUUGCCGCCUGUGAUUGGGACGCAGGAGGUGGUUAAGGAACCAAAAGGAUUCGGUUCUUCCAAAAGCUUCGAUGGAUACUCCAACACGGUAGAGGAACUCAACUGGCAGGAAAGGUGCUUGGAACUGCAGCUGGAGCUUCACAGGAGCAGGAACCAGGCCAGCAGGGUGCGAGACAUGCUGCGAGAAAAGCUAUCGGAGUUGGAGCAGCGCGUCCUGGAGGCGGAGGGACGAGCCGACGAGGCGGAGGACAAGGUACGGAUGAUGGAGGAGCGGCUAGUGAAGGGUGAAUACUGCCUGAGCACCUCCGGAGUCGGUUCUCCACCACACUCCCUGCCUUCUACCUCCGGCGCACAGAAUGACAAGAUCGAGGAGGUUCACUGCGCCUGCAUCUCCAAACUAGAGACUCAAGUCGAGGAACAGCGGCAAUUGCGACUUCAAGACGCCCGGCAAGUCGAGGCGAAAGCCGCUCGCAUCAAGGAGUGGGUGACGAACAAGCUGCGCGAACUCGAGCAGCAGAAUCAGCACCUGCGCGAGCAGAACAACAAGUGCAACCAGCAGCUCGAGCUGCUUCGCAAUCACAUCACCAACAUCGGCCUCAGACCGCCGCUGCCGACGCGAGCCUCCUUAUCUCUGGAAGUCGAUUCGAGCCUGCGCAGACGCUCGGAGGUACUCGAGGGCACGGCCCAGGUGGUGGAGCCGGGCAGUGUAGCAGCCGCCGGACAAGUUGCCCACUCGGCCGUUGGAGCCUCGUCCAGUGGAGCUGAGCCGCAGACCACCGCUGCGGCCACCAGGCAUCGAAGGCAUCUCUCGGCUUGUGGCACCAUUCAGCAGCCUAUUCCUAACGUCAACAUGGAUUCGAGCCUCCUUUCCGAAGAGCUGGCCGCCGCAGUGGAGAACCUGGUGAUGUUGCCCAGCAGUAUCCCGGGUACAGCCGCAGCCUCGACCGCCGCCUCGGAGAGCAUGAGUCGCGACAGCGCCGAAAGCAGCAACGAAGCCAUCCACGACUACGCGGAGAUCUACACGCCUAGUCGCGAGGGCGUCGCUUGGAGCACACCAGCCGUUCAGAACAACACGGCCGAGCCGCAGCAGCAGCAGCAGCAGCCGCAGCAGCAGCAGCAGGAAGUCGGUACACCCAGGCCACCAACGCCACCGUUGCAUCGAUUCCCUAGCUGGGAGGCCAAGAUUUACCAGGUUGCGGACGGAGGUCUCGGCAUCGGACCCCCAACGAACGACGAGUCCGUGCCCUCGACCACCACCAACACCACAUCGUCAAAGCACUCGCAUACCGGACACAAUCUCACCGCACACAACCUCCAGGGCUACUGCGAUAUUUCCGUUCCAGUCUACGCUACAGUCAAAGGUCGAGCUAGUCAGAUAAGAUCGAUGCCGUUCGGCGACAGUUCGGACGACAGCUCCGACGGCGAGGAGCACCAGAAUCAGACCGAGACGAACACGCGUAUCACCAACAGUUCCUCCGACAACACGGACUCGUCUCUCGGCAGCGGCAGCAGUCCAUCCAAGAGCGUCAAGACCACCAGCAGCCUCAGCCCGGCGAAGAGAAGCUCUAGCGGGUCCCCAAGUAAAAGCGUCAAACGCGACGCUUCUUUAGAGUCCGGCCUGUCGGAGGACUACGCCAUACCCCCUGACGCAUUGAGCUCGACGUCCCUCGAGUCUAGCAUGCCGAGCCUCCUGAUGCGCGUCUCGGGCGAGAGCCCCAAGAGGCUCGAGUCUCUCGAGAAGACGGGACACCUAGCAAAGCUCGGCGGCAAACUCAAGACCUGGAGGAAGCGAUACUUUAUCUUGAAGAACGGCGUGCUGUGCUACUGGAAGAGUCAGAAUGACAUCAAUCGAAAACCCCAAGGCCAGAUCCUGCUCGACGAAGUUUGCAGGAUAAACCGAGCGGAGGGCGCAGCGACGUUCGAAAUAGCGACGGGCAAGAAGACGUACUACCUGACGGCGGACUGUAUAGCCACGAUGGAGGACUGGAUCCGGGUGCUACAGAACGUUCAGAGGCGAAACGCAACGAAGCUCUUGUUGAGCAGAGAAGACAAUAAACCGACGAUACAGGGCUGGCUCACGAAGGUCAAGAAUGGCCACGCGAAAAAGUGCUGGUGCGUCCUCAUCGGCAAAAUGUUCCUUUACUUCAAGUGUCCUAAUGACAUGAAUCCGAUUGGUCAGAUAAAUAUGCGAGACGCCCGCGUCGAAGAGGUGGAACACGUCUCGGACAGCGAUAGCGAGGAGCGCGACUCGGAGUGUCCGCACGAGCAAACCAUCGGUAUUUUCCCUUCGCAUCAGGGACCCACCUACCUUCUUAUGCAGCACAAGCAAGACAAGGACAACUGGCUGUAUCACCUGACGGUCGUGUCUGGUGGUGGACCCAGUGCAGGUACGCAGUACGAACAGCUCGUCCAGAGGCUGAUGGAAACCGACGGCGAUCCUAACUGCGUGCUAUGGAGGCAUCCGUUGCUUCUGCACUCGAAGGAGAAUAUCACUAGUCCUCUGACGAGUCUAACAUCCGAGACUCUUCAGAGCGAAGCCGUCAAGUUGUUCAAGGCAGUACAGCUGUUCAUGUCGGUGGCGGUCGAACAGGCCGGUAUCGACUAUCACGUCGUGCUCGCGCAAAAUGCACUGCAGCAAUGUCUGGACCAACCGGAGCUGCAAUCGGAAUUCAUUUGCGCGCUGGUAAAACAGACGAGUCGUCACACGCAGCAUCGUUUGGGCGUACAGGUAAAAAAGGCCGCCAGACUUGUGUCGCUGGGUACUGCGCGCGUUCAACUCCUGCUGUGCGCGACGCAGUCGCUCUUCACCUGCGAUACGCAGGGCCCCGGGACAAGCGGGGCCGGCGAUAACGCGGACGCUCAGUCGACCGCAUCGACAUCUCACAGUCCUCCGCUCGCACAGGGACACUCGUCAUCGAAUCUGCUCGACUGCAAGACCAAUCCGGCACAGUACGUUCUCGUCCAAGGAUGGCAGCUGCUCGCUCUGGCCGUCUCGCUCUUCUUGCCCAGAAACAACCGGCUGCUGUGGUAUCUCAAGCUUCAUCUGCAGAGGAAUGCCGAUACGAAAACGGAAUGCGGCAAGUACGCGGCCUACUGCGAGCGAGCGUUGGAGCGAACCCUUCAAAACGGUUGUCGCGAGGUGAAGCCCUCUCGCAUGGAAGUCCUCUCGAUUCUCCUGAAGAACCCCUAUCAUCAUUCUCUGCCUCACGCGAUACCGGUACAUUUCCUCAACGGCACGUAUCAGGUCGUGAGUUUCGACGGCAGCACCACCAUCGAGGAGUUCCUCACCACCCUCAACCAAGAGAUCGGCUGCAGGGAUGUGCAUCACUCGGGAUUCACUCUGUUUAGCGACGACCCUAUCGAGAAGGAUCUCGAGCACUUUAUCGAUCUCCAGGCUAAGCUAUGUGAUAUAAUAUCUAAAUGGGAAACGGCACUGCGAGAGAAGGGCUCGGGCAAGUUCGAGAACACGAGGGUCAUACAAUUGACCUACAAGUCCCGCUGCUACUGGAGACACGCUGCAAAGAUGGAGACCGACCGCGAGAGGCUGCUACUUUGCUACCAAGUCAAUCAGCAAGUUGUGCAGGGCAAGUUUCCGCUCAAUCGCGAUUUGGCAUUUGAACUUGCGGCUCUUAUGGCCCAGAUCGACUAUGGAGAGUACAACACCGAGAAAGCUCGUGGUAGCGGACCAGGCAACAACCCCCAUCACUUAGUAUUACAAGCUUUAGAUAAAUUUUAUCCAGUCAGAUAUCGCUCAAAUAUUACUGCCGAACAAUUAAGGGAGUUGCAAGAAAAACUGCAAGAGAAGUGGAUCUCUUUGAAGGGUCGCAGUGUUUUGGACUGCGUGAGAAUUUACCUAACUUGCACCAGGAAAUGGCCGUUCUUUGGCGCAACACUAUAUCAGGCUAAGCUUAAGCAAUCCGAUCCAGCGACGGUGUGGAUCGCUGUUUCGGAAGACAGCGUUACGUUGCUCGAGCUGCAAACUAUGUCAGUAAUGUGCCGCUACAAUUACGCAAACAUCGUCACGUUCGGAGGCUGCUUGGACGAUUUUAUGCUCGUCGCGUGUCCAGAUGAAGGGGCUGCUGAGCAGAAGCUUUUAUUCGCUUUGAGCAAACCUAAAAUAUUAGAAAUUACGUUAUUGAUAGCGGACUACAUGAAUGCCUUGGGCCAUACUUUACCAGGAACGCCACAGAUGAAUACGUUAACGCGAAAUGGCUCGCAUCGAUCCAUAAAGUCGACAUUGCGAACUACAACUGGUUAACUGUGUAUUCCAAGAGUUCAGAAUUAGACGUCAAAAUUCAAACUCGAAACGGCUAUUCUAAUCUGGAAGUAUAAGGGCAGGGCAAAAUUUUAUUUUUCUUGAAAGUGCAAAAUAAAUGGGUGCCGGAAAGGGUUCAAGCUGUCUUCCUACGCAACCCGAUAUCCUCAAGUCCACGCCCGAUCACCAGCGGCCAUGAGACAGCAGCUUAAACCGUUCGGAAGAAUCCGAUUUGUUUUAUACGUGCAAACAGUCCGGCUCUAUUAGGGCUAUGCGUUACUCAAAGGUACUAAAGCAUACAUCGUAGGCGUUAUGUUAUAACACGCAUACUUUGUAAAUAAUUGAAAGAAUAAUUAACGGCGUAAUUGCUCAAACAACGCAAAAAUGCGUGACCGUACACAUACACUAUGGGAUCGCGUGUCGUGCAAACACAAAAUAUCUAAUAAGCGCAGCGUAAAAACUACUGAAGGAAAAUGAAGAUUCACUGCCUAAUUUAGAAGAAUUUUGUGACACGGGUUCGACGCAAGUUCGGAUCGAAGACUAAAAAAGGAAGGAAGAGAGAUAAUAGCCAAGCUAUAAUGUGCUCUGACGAUGUUUUUGCUACACUUCAUUUAUACUCCUCGAUGAGUAGAUGUCGAGGAGAGUCAUUGUAAAUAGUAGUGUUUAGUCUGCUGGAUGUUUAGGAAUCUAUUAGAUAAUGCGAAAAACGAGAGACUUAUGAUUGAUCGAACGUAAAAACUGAGAAAGGCUAAAGCACUUUUACAAUUUUUAAAAAACCACGUUUCGACCAUAGCAAGAUAUGAGCAUAGCGCGAAUUUUUUAGAAACGAAUUUUUGAGCCUUGAAAUAAAAAACUGUGAAUUAAUAAUAUAAAAAUUCUAGACUAGGUAGCUAGAAAUUGGUUUUUUAAAUGUGGCAAGGUAGUUUUGGGUUUUCUAAGUCAGUAUCGACAGUUCUUGCCAAAAACAUUUGGAUAAAUAUUCUUCUCAAAUUUUGUAUAUGUAUAAUUGAUAUCCACUUAUACGUGCCAUUUAUUUAUUAAUAAGUAAAAUAACGUGUGCGCAAAAUCAGAAUUUAUGUUGUCAUUAGAAAUAUUUUUAUGUUAAAAUUCAGUAGUACUUUUUAGGAAAUCUACAAAAAUGAAUCGAUGCUAGCAAAAUAUCAUAACGACGUACAUUACAUAAUGGAUGACCGCACAUACUAUAAGUGUAUAUAAAAUUAUAGAGAAACAAGGUUCAUGUUAUAUCAUAUAAAGUUUUUCACAACUAUUUAUGGUUUACAUACAAUAAAGCAAAUGUUUAUCCCUUAUAAAGAGCCCUUGCAAGUACUUGAAACUGAGAUAAAAUCCUGCUUAAAGUAGGAGCCUGCUAAUUAUCAAAAUUGUAGCAGGAUUUUUUUCGAACAUACGAUUUCGUCUGAAAACUGUCACACUCGUUUCUCGACUGAUUUUAGUUUUUUAGAAUAUAUUAUAUAUGUGAAAAUGUAUUGCCAUAAUUGCAGGGUGCCUAAAAUCUGAAUAAUGAACGUUAUAAGAAAGAAGCUAAUAUCUUUGUAAGAUUGCAACUUGAUGUGCAACGAUCGCAUCUAUUAACUUCGACGAAAAGUUUUGUUAUCCCGGUAAUAGCUAGUCUUUUUGAAUCGCUUAAUGUAUUUUUACGAAUAUUGAAGCGCAAUUAAUUUUAUUGUAAAAUAGGCGUCCAAAUAGUCAUAAAGGAUUCGAUUUUAUUUUAUAUAUGAUCAAAAUCACUUUGAAGAGGUUUAUUCCUUUGACGUAGAAUAUAUGUUUGUUACACAUUAUGUAUAGUUUUCGUAAAAACUCGUCGGAUUAAAUGUUAUACAAAGAUUUACGAGAGGUCUAUUCUCCAUAUUCGAAUGGCGAUUUUUAAAUUCUUGUUGUAUUGAAAUCAUGUAGAGUAAUACAACAUGAAAAUUUUAGUUUAAUAAUUACGUGUCGUUGGAAUGAUAUUAAAAAUGAAUUUACUAAAAACAAUCCUAACUACAUUUUAUAGAUUUUUUGCAUUUAGUACAAUUAUUUUAAGUAAUUUAUACAGACAUGUAACGGCGUUAAUUUUUUACACUUAUCACACAAAGUUUAUAUGUGGUUUACACAUUUACUCUAUGCUGUUGUGCGAACAAUGUGCGUUUAGUAAUUUUAGCAAUAGGAAGUAAGUGAUAGCGUCCUCUGGUAAAAAUGAAUAACAAAAAUGCAUGAUGCGUAUUUGAAUUAUUCAUAUUGGCCGAAUGCGAUUCAUUCAACAAUCACUUAUGUCAAAUCUCAUAACACUACAAACACGCACACAUGUUUUUUUUGACACUAAAGAAUGAGAAAUCUCGUGAGGUCGGUGUCGAUUUGUUAUAGUGGUUUUGUACACGAGUGCUUGAUAUGCCCUGAGUAACUAGUAAAAGUCUUCCUUUAUCGAAUAACCGCAAUUAAGAUAUUGUAUGUAUAGCAAAACGUAAAUAAAAACAUUGGGCUGUAGUGCAAUAUGUACAAGACUUCUAUGACAUGAUUAUAAAGAAAGAUAAGAAAAGAAAAUGAAGGACUACAAGUUUUUCACUCUUGCUUUUAAAUAAAUAACAAAAUAUCUGUACAUUUUCUGUUUGUAGAAUUUUUUUUUUUUUUUUUUUUUUUUUUUUUUUUUUUUGGAAGCAAAACCUGAAUUGGCAAACUUAACUAUAUUCAAAAUUAAAAAUAUAACAAGUAAAUUAAAAAAAAUUUUUAAACUUGGGAUUACUAGCAUAUUUAUUUCUAGUUUAGAAUGAGACAAAAAACUGUUGUAGUGUCAGGUCGAAAGGGGGCAGCAGUACAAAAAUGGAGUUGGUGAAAUUUAGGGAAAAAAUACGACACUUUGUCCUUAGUUUUUUAUAUAAGGAAGAAAUAGAGAAAGAGGAAGGCCAUUAAGUCGGUGCCUGGCACCUUUAUACACGGUAUAUUGCGAUACACGGAUAUAAGGAUGAAAAAUUUACUCAUUUUGUAUAUAAUUAAUAUUGUAUGUAAGCGAAAUAUAUAUAUAUAUACGUCGAAAUCGCAGCGCAGGCGAUAAAAAAUUAAUAUGAAAUUGCCUAUCAUGGCAUGCACUAUACGUUAUAUACAUCUUUAUUUAUUAUUUAUUUGCAACGUAAAUCAACGCUAGAGGCGUAAACAAUGUACGGCAGAAAUUAUGAUACAUUGUACCAUUGUACAAAUAGUAAAUAUAUUAUGCUCGAAUGUGUAUAAGACAGA